rnacentral:lncRNA from 1 species
CUGUUGGAUGUACACAUGAGGUCAUUCAAGAUCAGUAACUCAUACUCUAUUCUAGCAAGCUGGCUGUUGGUGAGAAUUCUGAAUUCUCCUUGCAUCGCCUAACGAAGAUAGAAGAUCGGAGUAUUAUACAUCAACCAAUUUCUUAGCUGGGAGUGUUACUCCUGCAUUGCUCUACAAUUUAUGGGUCAUGUAAUUUGAUCUCUCACAUAAUCUAUAGCGAGGUAAGAAAGCGAAACCGACGCCACAAAAUAUCUUGAAAUUCUGCUUGUUCAUAUCCUGUUCUUCUGAUUAAAGAACAACUUAGCUUGAGAUUGUUCUGUUCACUUGCAAUUUGCAGGAGUAACAAAGCUUAUUUUUGCAUUGAUGAUGCGGGAGCUCGCCGCCGAUGCCACCGUCUUGUUGCCGACCUUGACGAAGUCGAGGACCACGCUGUAGU